UACGAAGGGGGCUAGCGUUGUUCGGAAUUACUGGGCGUAAAGCGCACGUAGGCGGAUGUGCCAGUCAGGGGUGAAAUCCCGAGGCUCAACCUCGGAACUGCCUCCGAUACAGCACGUCUCGAGUCCGGAAGAGGUGAGUGGAAUUCCUAGUGUAGAGGUGAAAUUCGUAGAUAUUAGGAAGAACACCAGUGGCGAAGGCGGCUCACUGGUCCGGUACUGACGCUGAGGUGCGAAAGCGUGGGGAGCAAAC
rnacentral:rRNA from 1 species